ACAAGAGAAGUACCUACCCGUGUCUUAUAGGCAGUGAUUGAUGGACCAGUGGCAAUAACUAUCCCAAGAUAACCGACCCGUAUUAGAAUGCAUAGCCAAAUUCGAUGAAUUCCAGAUGCGGUGUGGUGUUAAUGAGGUUAGAUUUGUGACCCUUUCUACAUUUAGAGCCAGGCUACAUGAGGAACUGUAGCAUGAACUUUAUUUACGUGAAGUUAUGACCUUAGAUCAUGCAUACCAGAUGGCCCAGGAUAUUGAGAGGUACCAUUGUCUAAUAAUUCAGAGGAUCGAGCCUAUUCGAUCAAUACCCUCGGGACCU
rnacentral:lncRNA from 1 species